UUUGUCCGCCGGACUCGGAAUGGCGCGAGACUUUGCGAGGCGCCUCCGUGUGCCAAAGAUAGGCCGCGGGCACAGCCGCGUCCAAAAAUAAUCGCCUGAAGGCCGGGGCGCCAAGUUCGUCCAGCGGAAAAAGCCCGCAAAAAUGGGUGGGCUAUAGCCUUGGGGGGUGGGGCUGCCCAACUUCGUCCGCCGGACUCGGAAUGGCGCUAGACUUUGCGAGGCACCUCCGUGUACCAAAAAUAGGCCGUGGGCACAGCCGCGCCCAAAAAUAAUCGCCCGAAGGCCGGGGCGCCAAGUUCGUCCAGCGGAACAACCCACAAAAACGGGUGGGCUAUAGCCUUGGGGGGUGGGUCUGGCCAACUUCGUCCGCCGGACUCGGAAUGGCGCUAGACUCUGCGAGGCGCCUCCGUGUGCCAAAAAUAGGCCGCGGGCACAGCCGCGCCCAAAAAUAAUCGCCCAAAUGCCGGGGCGCGAAGUUCGUCCAGCGGAAAAAGGCCACAAAAACGGGUGGGUUAUAGCCUUGGGGGGUGGGGCUGGCCAACUUCGUCCGCCGGACUCGGAAUGGCGCGAGACUUUGCGAGGCGCCUCCGUGUGCCAAAAAUAGGCAGCGGGCGCAGCCGCGUCUAAAAAUAACCGCCCAAAGGCCGGGGCGCCAAGUUCGUCCAGCAGAAAAAGCCCGCAAAAACGGGUGGGCUAUAGCCUUGGGGGGUUGGGCUGGCCAACUUCGUCCGCCGGACUCGGAAUGGCGCGAGACUUUGCGAGGUGCCUCCGUGUGCCAAAAAUAGGCUGUGGGCACAGCCGCGCGCAAAAAUAAUCGCCCGAAGGCCGGGGCGCCAAGUUCGUCCAGUGGAAAAAGCCCACAAAAACGGGUGGGCUAUAGCCUUGGGGGGUGGGGCAGCCCAACUUCGUCCGCCGGACUCGGAAUGGCGCUAGACUUUGCGAGGCGCCUCCGUGUGCCAAAAAUAGGCCGCGGGCACAGCCGCGCCCAAAAAUAAUCGCCCGAAUGCCGGGGCGCCAAGUUCGUCCAGCGGAAAAAGGCCAACGGGUGGGUUAUAGCCUUGGGGGGUGGGGCUGGCCAACUUCGUCCGCCGGACUCGGAAUGACAAGAGGCUUUGCGAGCAGCCUCCGUGGGCCAAAAAUAGGCUGCGGGCACAGCCGCGCCCAAAAAUAACCGCCCGAAAACCGGGGCGCCAAGUUCGUCCAGCGGAAAAAGGCCACAAAAACGGGUGGGCUAUAGCCUUGGGAGGUGGGGCUGGCCAACUUUGUCCGCCGGACUCGGAAUGGCGCGAGACUUUGCGAGACGCCUCCGUGUGCCAAAAAUAGGCCGCGGGCACAGCCGCACCCAAAAAUAACCGCCCAAAGGCCGGUGCGCCAGGUUCGUCCAGCGGAAAAAGCCCGCAAAAACGGGUGGGCUAUAGCCUUGGGGAAUGGGGCUGGCCAACUUCGUCCGCCGGACUCGGAAUGGCACGAGACUUUGCGAGGUGCCUCCGUGUGCCAUAGAUAGGCCGCGGGCACAGCCGUGUCCAAAAAUAAUCACCCGAAGGCCGGGGUUCCAAGUUCGUCCAGCGGAAAAAGCCCACAAAAACGGGUGGGCUAUAGCCUUGGGGUGUGGGGCUGGCCAACUUCGUCCGCCGGACUCGGAAUGGCGCGAGACUUUGCGAGAUGCCUCCGUGUGACAAAAAUAGGCAGUGGGAACAGCCGCGACCAAAAAUAACCGCCCGAAGGCCAGGGCGCCAAGUUUGUCCAGCGGAAAAAGCCCGCAAAAACGGGUGGGCUAUAGCCUUGGGGGGUGGGGCUGCCCAACUUCGUCCGCCGGACUCGGAAUGGCGCUAGACUUUGCGAGGCACCUCCGUGUACCAAAAAUAGGCCGUGGUCACAGCCGCGUCCAAAAAUAAUCGCCCGAAGGCCGGGGCGCCAAGUUCGUCCAGUGGAAAAAGCCCGCAAAAACGGGUGGGCUAUAGCCUUGGGGGGUGGGGCUGCCCAACUUCGUCCAACGGACUCGGAAUGGCGCUAGACUUUGCGAGGUGCCUCCGUGUGCCAAAGAUAGGCCGCGGGCACAGCCGCGUCCAAAAAUAAUCGCCCGAAGUCCGGGGCGCCAAGUUCGUCCAGCGUAAAAAGCCCACAGAAAUGGGUGGGCUAUAGCCUUGGUGGGUGGGGCUGUCCAACUUCGUCCGCCGGACUCGGAAUGACGAGAGGCUUUGCGAACGGCCUCCGUGUGCCAAAAAUAGGCUGCGGGUACAGACGCGCCCAAAAAUAACCUCCCGAAAACCGGGGCGCCAAGUUCGUCCAGCGGAAAAAGGCCACAAAAACGGGUGGGCUAUAGCCUUGGGGGGUGGGGCUGGCCAACUUUGUCCGCCGGACUCGGAAUGGCGCGAGACUUUGCGAGGCACCUCCGUGUGCCAAAAAUAGGCCGCGGGCACAGCCGCGCCCAAAAAUAACCGCCCGAAAGCCGGGGCGCCAAGUUCGUCCAGCGGAAAAAGCCCGCAAAAACGGGUGGGCUAUAGCCUUGGGGGAUGGGGCUGGCCAACUUCGUCCGCCGGACUCGGAAUGGCGCGAGACUUUGCGAGGCACCUCCGUGUGCCAAAAAUAGGCCACGGGCACAGCCGUGCCCAAAAAUAACAGCCCGAAGAUCGGGGCGCCAAGUUCGUCCAGCAGAAAAAGCCCGCAAAAACGGGUGGGCUAUAGCCUUGAAGGAUGGGGCUGGCCAACUUCGUCCGCCGGACUCGGAAUGGCGCGAGACUUUGCGAGGUGCCUCUGUGUGCCAAAGAUAGGCCGCGGGCACAGCCGUGUCCAAAAAUAAUCGCCCGAAGGCCGGGGCGCCAAGUUCGUCCAGCGUAAAAAGCCCACAAAAACGGGUGGGCUAUAGCCUUGGUGGGUGGGGUGGGGCUGGCCACUCGUCGCUACUCGGAAUGGCGCUAGACUUGCGAGGCACCUCCGUGUACCAAAAAUAGGCCGCGGGGCACAGCCGCGUCCCAAAAAUAAUCGCCCGAAGGACGGGGCGCCAAGUUCGUCCAGCGGAAAAACCCACAAAAAACGGGUGGGCUAUAGCCUUGGGGGGGUGGGGCUGGCAAACUUCGUCCGCCGGACCCGGAAUGGCGCUAGACUUUGCGAGGGCGUCUCCGUGUGCCAAAAAAUAAGCUGCGGGCACAGCCGUAUACCCAAAAUAUAUCUCCCGAAUUGCCGGGGGCGCGCGAGGUCGUUCAGCGGGAAAAAGGCCCCACAAAAACGGGUGUGGUUAAAUAGCUUGGGGGGUGGGGGCUGGCCCAACUUCGUUCCGUCGGACUCGGAAAGGCGCCGGAGCUUUGCGAGGUGCCUUCGUGUGCCCAAAGAUAAGCCGCCGGCACAGCCGUGUCCCAAAAUAAUCGCCCGAAGGCCGGGGCGCCAAGUUCGUCCAGCAGAAAAAGCCCGCAAAAACGGGUGGGCUAUUGCCUUGGGGAGUUGGGCUGCCCAACUUCGUCCGCCGGACUCGGAAUGGCGCGAGACUUUGCGAGGCACCUCCGUGUGCCAAAAAUAGGCUGCGGGCACAGCCGCGCCCAAAAAUAAUCGCCCGAAGGCCGGGGCGCCAAGUUCGUCCAGCGGAAAAAGCCCACAAAAACGGGUGGGCUAUAGCCAUGGGGGGUGGGGCUGGCCAACUUCGUCCGCCGGACUGGGAAUGAUGCUAGACUUUACGAGGCGCCUCCAUGUGCCAA
rnacentral:lncRNA from 1 species